rnacentral:rRNA from 1 species
UACCAGCACCCCGAGUGGUCGGGACGAUUAUUGGGCCUAAAGCAUCCGUAGCCGGUUCUACAAGUCUUCCGUUAAAUCCACCUGCUUAACAGAUGGGCUGCGGAGGAUACUAUGGAGCUAGGAGGCGGGAGAGGCAAGCGGUACUUAGUGGGUAGGGGUAAAAUCCGUUGAUCCAUUGAAGACCACCAGUGGCGAAGGCGGCUUACCAGAACGCACUCGACGGUGAGGGAUGAAAGCUGGGGGAGCAAACCGG